GUAGGUGGCAAGCGUUGUCCGGAAUUAUUGGGCGUAAAGCGCGCGCAGGCGGUCCUUAAGUCUGAUGUGAAAGCCCACGGCUCAACCGUGGAGGGUCAUUGGAAACUGGGGGACUUGAGUACAGAAGAGGAAAGCGGAAUUCCAAGUGUAGCGGUGAAAUGCGUAGAGAUUUGGAGGAACACCAGUGGCGAAGGCGGCUUUCUGGUCUGUAACUGACGCUGAGGCGCGAAAGCGUGGGGAGCAAACAGGGAUUAGAUACCCUGGUAGUCCACGCCGUAAACGAUGAGUGCUAAGUGUUAGGGGGUUUCCGCCCCUUAGUGCUGCAGCUAACGCAUUAAGCACUCCGCCUGGGGAGUACGCCGCAAGGCUG
rnacentral:rRNA from 1 species